rnacentral:lncRNA from 1 species
GAGAUGAGAAGCAGCAGUGAUGGCCCUCAUAUUGAACCUGGAGACCAGGGUCCCCCAGCUCCCAACCUUUGCCCUGCUCCUGUUCCUGCUAACUACUUGAGUAUCUGAUUCCCAAGUCUCCCACUCGCUUCCCCCACCAUCUCUAAUUCCCUCCUGGAAUCCAGAUGUCCAGAUACCAGGCAAGUUGAAGGUCUUGGAGCUCUCAGGUUCCAUGGUGGGGGGCAAGGGUCUGGGAGGAUGGGGAAACUUAGAGGGCAGGGGACAAAGGGUGGAGGAAUGGUGGCUAGUGGUGCCCCGCUGGAGACAGUGGUCUUGGAGCAGGGAGGGAGAACUUGGGGCCUGGGGGAGGGUGGGGGCUGCGGGAAAUCUGGGGGGGUGGUGUGUUAGUGAAAGGAUUCACAGGAUCCACAGGCAAAACCCCCAAGAAUCAGGGCUUUUGAAGCUCACUCAAGCUAUCUGGAAGGUGCCAAGAGACCUACCUGGUGUAGUUGGGGGUCUGGCCCUGGGCGAAAGGCAGCAGGGCCCAGGCAGUGAGGAGGGGCCCCAAGAGGGAGGCAGUGGCAGCAGGCAUCAUGGCCGGGGGGAGAGGCGCUGGGGUCCUCGAGACCGAGGCAGCAGCUGAGUUUAGCAGCGGCAGCAGCAGCAGCAGGGAUAAUCAGUGCCAGAUGAGGCAGCCUCGGGUGUGUGGGCGUGGGGACUGGCCAGCGGGGCGGGCGGUGGGGAAGGCGGGACAGGGAGAGUGCAGUUGGGACAGUGGUGAGUCCAGGGGCCUCUCUAGGUCUAGGACACAUAAAUAUUGACCUAAGUAGGGGGUGGAGCAACGAAGGGCAGAGGGAGCAUCAACCCUCAGCUGUAAUGCAGGCAUCAAGUAAUGUCAUCUGGAAGCCUGCUGUGUCCAGUACCCAAGCAUCCUGUGAACACAGCCUCUGGUCCUUCCUCAUGAUCCUCCCCAUGCCUGCCUCCUCAGCACCCGUAGAAAGUCCUUCCCUAGACCCCCAACAACUAGUCACUCACCCCCUUCCUGACCACCCCCCUGCUCCAGCUGAUUUUCCGCUUCAAAUUUCUACUGUCUUCUUUGCAUCCCUGGACCAGACUAGGCCAAGGAGAAAAUUCUUUCUGCCCGCCCAUUUUCCCUCCCAAAUAUUUGGAGAUCCGGGAGUGGGUUAGAUGUGGAUAAAGGGAGCAUCCCUCUUAGUGGGGAGGAGGAUGGAGGAGAAAGUGAGGGAAGGAAGGUUAAACAGAGGAGGGGAGGAGGGGGCUGACUUCACAGGGACCGAGGUCAGAAGCAGGUGGCCCCCUCAGGAUGGGAGUAAGUCUGACAGACAGAGGAUCCAUAAGGGGACCGAGUAGCAUAUGUUGACUGCAUUGUUCCAGAAGGUGGGGCUUGAACUUCAAGUCAAGAAGCCUGGGCCACUCUUGGGAGUGGGAGGGGAAAGAGAGCUCUAAGAUUCAGGUGGUCAGUUCAGCAGCACCUGAAUGCUUGAGCCACUUCUGCUCUCUCUGCCUCCUCGUCCAUCCCCCUGCCUUCCAUCGCCCUCCUGAUUGGGGGGCAUUGGGGCCCCCAUCCCCUGCCUUAUUUUCCUCCCAGGCCCCAGGGUUCCAAACAGGGCCUCACUUCAGCCUUUUAUUCUAUUUGCCCAUCAAAUCUCUUGUCCAUGAUAGUCAGGUUGGGGGUCCCUCCCGGGCAGCCCCCUGAACAUUUUACAAAACGGUUCCCUGCCCACCCUGGCAAGCCUAGCAAUUCCCACCCCUCCCCAUGUGCACAUACAAUGUUUAUUGCUACCAUCCCACUCUCCUUAGCUCCUGGCCCAGGGCCAGACUCUCCCUCCAGGGGUAAGACUAGGAAAGGGGCUCAGCUCUCAGGGGUUGAGGGGCCCGGGCCAACCCCUCCAGCAGCCCUCUGCAGCAUGUCCAGGGCCUCCCAGAAGAAAUCUUUCUGUGCAGCCAUCAAGGGCAUCCAACCCACGAUCUCCUUCAUCUUUUCCAUGCGAUCCUGCAACGUGGAGCAACUGUGGAUCUGGCUGAGGUACUCCUCACAGGCCCGGGCUGCCCCCCCAGGGUCCUGGGGUGCUCCAGCUCCCAGGCCAGGCUCGGGGGUCCCCACCACCCUGCUGGCUGGUAGGUCCCGGUAGGUGGGAUGGUGUUCGAUGUCAUGGCUGGACAGCAUGUAGAGGCACUCUCUGGUAGAGCAGAGGGAACAGGCACACAGAGGGACCUUAAAGGAGAGAAGGGGCGUGGCUGAGAGGGGCCUUUACUGAGGGGCUCCCAGGAAGCCCCAGCUGUUGUGUUCCUCCCUCUCAGACCAGCCCUGGGCCAGCAAGUGAGCUAGGGCUGGCUAAGCCCCAAGGUUGUGUAAGGUCAGAGAGGGCGAGCGGGGUCUGCUAAGGGAGAGAGCCAGGAGCCAUGGUGUGUGGCCGGAAAAGGGAGGUGGGUAGUGCUGGGGGGGGGGGGGGGGGCCCCCGGGNCCCCCGGGUCCUUGCAGGAGCCCCAGCUACAGUCCUGUGUGCCACCUGGCUCUAUUGCCCUUGCCCCGUUGCCUGCUGGCGUGUCCUGGCUCUGACCUUGACGUGGAGCUUCACGAAAGAGGCACUCCCCUUAGGCCAGCCAGGGAGGCGGCCUCCAGCCCCACAGCCGCAGCCCAGAAGCUCCUUGCUGAAGUCCGAGCCCUGGCUCAGCACCAGAGAGUGGUUGAGGCCACACCACAGGGCAAUGGGACGUUGCAGAUAAUGCACCUGAGAACACAGGGCCAGGAUCCCUAAGGUGGGAAUGCUGAGGAUUUGAGGGCCCAGGUAGGAGGAGGGCAACAGAAAGGCUCAGGGAAGACUCUAGAAAACUAGGAGAGGGAAGCAAGGGGACUCAGCACCCCCUCAACCCCCACCCAGCCGGAAGGCAGACCAGCAGCAAUCUUUCCCUCCCUAGUUCUCCUGCAGCCCCUGUCGGACUGCAUGGGGUCUAGCACUUCUGUUGGUUCCUCAUCUUUGCUCCUCAGAAAACAGGCUACUUGCCUGCGCCCAGGGCCUGCUACCUGCUCCUUCCUACUACCCCAGACCUGUGCCAGUCCAGGCUCAUCCUGCCUUCCAGCCUCAGGAGGGGGACUAAGUUUCCUCUUCCCAAAGUUUAAAGACUCCCUCCCUCCCUGUACAAUUCCAGGUUAGCCUUCAGGAGGGACCUUCCUUCCACUUAUUCCUCCCUUCUCUCUCUAGCAUUUUCCACUUGUCCUAUCCUUGUCUCCCAAAAUGGCCACUCUGUUUUAAAAAAAAAAAAACAAAAGAAAACAAAAACAAAAACAUUUCCACCUGAUUCCUGCCCCUUCCUACCUCCAUCUUUUAGGCAACAGAACUGGUUAUGUGACCAGUCUGAGGCUGACCACAUUUUUGUUCUCACCACAGCCCAUCUUUCCUGAACUUCUUGUGAUCUGGCUUCCCUGCUUACUAAGCUACUGAUGUGUUCUCCCCAAAUGCACUUGACUUUACAGCUCCCAAACCCCAGGGCCUCUCCUGCAUGCUUUCUCCUGAGAUUAUGAGGGUUUUAAUUUUGAAGACAUAGGUAUGUAAUUUAUGGUCAUUAAAGAAAUGUUAUAAAAUCUUGGAGAGCAAAGAUUAAUUUAAAAAUCACUGGAAAUCCUACCACCCACUAUUAACAUCUUGCUGGGGGUGCCUGAGUGGCUCAGUCAGUUAGGUGUCCUACUUUAACUCAGGUCAUGAUCCUGAGUUCGAGCCCCACAUCGGGCACCCUGCUGUCAGCACAUCAGCAUGGAGCCCCUUCAGAUCCUCUGUCCCCCUUUCUCUCUGCCCCUCCCCUGCUUGUGCACCUUCUCUCUCUCUGAAAAAAUAAACUUAAAAAAAUCUUGCUAGAUAUUCUUUUUUCUUUCUUCUUUUUAUUUUGUAUUUAAGUAGAUUCCUGUGGAGUCUGCUUGGGAUUCUCUCCCUCUCUCUCUGCUCUUCCCCCCCCCAACAUAAAUUAACAUUAAAAAUAAAAAAGAGAGUCAGCUGCUUAACCAUGUGAGCCAAGCAGGCAUCCCUGGAUAUUCUUCUUCACUGCUGCCUCUGUGUGUGUGUGUGUGUGUGUGUGUGUGUGUGUGUGUGUGUGUGUUUUCAAAUUACAGACUUUUAAAUAAAAAUGGGGUUGUACUAUGUAAAUAAUUUUAUAAUUUUUUUUUUCAGCUAAAGAUAUGACCUGACCAUAUUUCCAUGUUGGCAGGUAUAUUCCUAUGUUAUCUGUUACCAUUAAUCACCUCCUCUGUUUGACACUCCCUGUGUCCCUGGCUUCUGGGACUUGGCACCUGAAGGUGUGCCUCCUGCCUCAGAGAUAGCUUCUUCAUUCCCUUUGCCUACAGCAUCAGCUCCUGCCCAGGUUUGUGCCUCUGUCCCUGCUUCUGUCUGUUUCAGCCUUGUUCCAACAUGGAAUCUAAUGCCAGAGAGACAUUUCCACUUUAGAAAAUGUCCAAAUUCACGCUCUUCCUCUUUCCUCAAGCCAGCAUCCCUUUCCACAUUUGUUAGUGAUGCCGUCUCUCUUUAAGGGGUCUACUGCGACAGCCACUUGUGUCCCACACCCAUCUCCUCACAUCUAAUCAGUUUCCAGUACCUAAUCAUUUUCUUUCAAAACAUCUCAGGUAUCCAUUCCUUUCCAUUCCCACUGCCCCAGGCUCUUGUCCCAAGUGCCACUGUCACUCAAUGGUCUCCCAGUGGGCUUCUCAUUCAGUGGCCUCCUGUGCACUCUGGCCAGGUGACCUGUUCUCAGUCAUCUGUGUGUGUGUGUGGCGGGGGGGCCUUCUCUUGCUCCAGAACCUGGAGUGACUUUCCAAAAUCUAUACCUUUUCAGGCUCACCCCUGCCUGUAUCACCUCAUAUCUACGGAUUUCCAAAACAUCCUCUCUGCUUCAGACCAGUCCUUUCAUGGUCCCAGGUAUGUGCAGCUUCGUUCUCAUCCCUGUUACAUGGAAUGCCUUUCCCUGUACCCACACGAAUGUGAUCUAACCCACCAGACCGUGAUCACAUCUCACCUCUUCUAGUUAUACCAGCCCACCGAGGUCUCCCUGCUUCACUAAAUUCCUAUUGCACUGGCAGCAAGCACCACACAGAAUGGACCUCACAGUGCCAACCCUGGGAAAGACACACAACAGUAUCACGCGCAUAAUAUACUGGCUGGCUUAACUUCCCUAGGGAGUAAGAAGUGGGUUCUAAAGAAAGUAGAGAAGAGGAGAGGUCUAAGGUGUAGAGGAUUGGAGGAAGGGGGCCACGAUGAGAAUAACUGAAAACGAAUCUCACCUGUGUGGGUUCCCCUCGGUCCAUUUUGUCCCCUGUUCCCAGCUGCCCAUAUCUGUUAUUUCCCUGCAUAAAGAUUCGGCCAAAUUCAUCCACCAAGCCAAGGUGGUUGUAGCCAAGAGCACAAAAUAGUAUCUAGGAAGUAAGACAGAAAGAGAAGGCAGGCAUUCAGUUCCCUCCAGAGGAACUCUGAGCUCCAAAAUCUCCCAGCCACUAACCUGCCAUUCCCAGCUGAUUUCUUUUGGCCUUGCCCACUACCUCGCCCCUCUCUCUCUGGGCCCCUGUCCCUCCCUGAUCAAUCAUUUGAUUCCUGCUCAUAUUUCAGACCUCUGGUGCCUUUUAAUCCCUAUAUCCCCCUCUGUCCGCCCCUUGGUCCGUCCCAUCCCUCCAGGAUCCUACCUUGGCAGGCAGUGAGAGAGCAAGCGGCAUCUGCUGGUCCAGGGGGUCAAAGGCUUGAAGGGUCCCAAAGAGAUCACGAUACACCCCUGGGGUAUGCACCUCAAAAUAUACUCCCCCCUGGUCUGGGGGGUCAGGAGCCCUCAGCUCAGCAGCUUUGGGCACCCAUUUCCUAGCGAUAAGGCCCUACCUAGGAUGAAAGCUACAAGAUCCAGGGAGUCUCACACCCACUAGAAAUGUACUAUGAUAUCUGGGAACCUAACCUCAUCUUUUCACUAGGAUGCCUGAAGGGGUCCACUGCUAGAGUAAGUAUAAGGGGCUGUCCAUAUCUGGAAAGUCUGUUUAAGACGAGGGUGUGGAGAAGAAGGAAGGUGGUUCUUACCUGUGAUGUAGAGAGUACUGCUCUGGUUAGAAGCCAUGCGGGUCACACGAAGGUGAGGCAGGCAACGGGACACCUUCCUCAGGGCCAGCUGAACUGUGUAGGAGCGUGGCUGGUCCAGCUGGGUUUCAUUCACUACCAAAGAGUAGAUCUUUCCUUCCUCUGGGAGAUGGGGAGAGGCAGACAAUGAUGUGGGGGAGGGGACCUCCCAAUAUCCACAUUAACUUCCCAAUAGACUCUCUAAGCCAUAGCGAUUAAACAUUUAUUGGCCUAGGGUGGGGUUGGAAGAAAAAGGGUAGAGGUGAAAUACAGGAAGCGUGACCUCAAGUUGCCCAGACUCUAGCCCUGUACCACCAAAAAUGAAUCAGGGAAACCCUUCAGUGUGAAUGAUGAGUGGAGAGAAAACCAGCAGUUAGAUCUGCCAGAAUCCAAUUUGAGUGUUGGGAGGAACGAUGCCUGGGGACUUGGGGCUCUGCCUGGAAUUAAGAAGUCCAGAGGGUCUGAGGCUUGGGAGUAGGGUCAAAUAUAGGGGACAGGGACACCAGUCUGCUUCAGUCAGAACAGCGCAUGACUCUUGAUCUCAGGGUUGUGAGUUUGAGCACCACACUGGGUGGAGAGAUUACUUAAGUAAAUAAAAAUUAAAAUUAAAAAAGUGUAUACAUGUAUGUGACAAUCAGCAAGGUGGGGGUAAGUUUGGGGUAUUAAGUGAAGUGCCUAGCAGGAAGUGAGGAAGAUUAGAAUUUCGAAAAUCAGGCUUUCACUAGAACAGUGGUUUCCAAACUAUUUUUUUGCAGCAGGGCCCUUUAUUCAUAUGAAAUACACAGAAUCUGGGGCGCCUGGGUGAUGCAGCUGGUCAACCAUCCCACUUUUGAUCUCAGCUCAGGUCAUGAUCUCACAGUUUUUGAGUUCAAGUCCUGCAUCAGGCUCUGCCCUGAUGGUGCUGAGCCUGCUUGGGAUUCUCUCUCUCCUUCUCUCUCUGCCCCUCCCCUGCUUGUGCACAGGUGAUAAACUUAAAAAAAAAUUUUUUUAAGUUGUUUAAAAAAAAAAAAAAGCAGAAUCUUAGUCUAUGAGACAGACAAAAAGCAAAGCUAUUUGGUUUGAGACCAGGAUGAGGUGGCAUGCAGAAAGGCCUUCCCCUCCCCUGCAGCAGGUCCUGAACCAUGUGUAGAAAACAAUUUGCAAACCACUGCUCUAGGCCACACCUGUGAGAAGCAGUAGAGCCCGCUGGUUCUCCUGACCAACCAGCACAAUCUGUUUGAAGCUCAUGGAGUGGUGGAAGGUCAUCUUGAAGACCCGCUGCCCACUGGACUGCAGAUAGACCUCGACACAGUCACAGGCCCGGCUGCCCGUUGU